rnacentral:rRNA from 1 species
AUUGAACGCUGGCGGCAGGCCUAACACAUGCAAGUCGAGCGGAUGAGGGGAGCUUGCUCCCUGAUUUAGCGGCGGACGGGUGAGUAAUGCCUAGGAAUCUGCCUGGUAGUGGGGGAUAACGUUCCGAAAGGAACGCUAAUACCGCAUACGUCCUACGGGAGAAAGCAGGGGACCUUCGGGCCUUGCGCUAUCAGAUGAGCCUAGGUCGGAUUAGCUAGUUGGUUAGGUAAUGGCUCACCAAGGCGACGAUCCGUAACUGGUCUGAGAGGAUGAUCAGUCACACUGGAACUGAGACACGGUCCAGACUCCUACGGGAGGCAGCAGUGGGGAAUAUUGGACAAUGGGCGAAAGCCUGAUCCAGCCAUGCCGCGUGUGUGAAGAAGGUCUUCGGAUUGUAAAGCACUUUAAGUUGGGAGGAAGGGCUGCUGGUUAAUACCCUGCAGUUUUGACGUUACCAACAGAAUAAGCACCGGCUAACUUCGUG